ACUUUUAACAACGGAUCUCUUGGCUCCAGCAUCGAUGAAGAACGCAGCGAAACGCGAUAUGUAAUGUGAAUUGCAGAAUUCAGUGAAUCAUCGAAUCUUUGAACGCACAUGGCGCCUUCCAGUAUCCUGGGAGGCAUGCCUGUCCGAGCGUCGUUUCAACC
rnacentral:rRNA from 1 species